CAGUCGCCGCGGUAAUACGAAGGGGGCUAGCGUUGUUCGGAUUUACUGGGCGUAAAGCGUGCGUAGGCGGUGAGUUAAGUCUGCUGUGAAAUCCCCGGGCUCAACCUGGGAAUGGCAGUGGAUACUGGCUCGCUAGAGUGUGUCAGAGGAUGGUGGAAUUCCCGGUGUAGCGGUGAAAUGCGUAGAGAUCGGGAGGAACAUCAGUGGCGAAGGCGGCCAUCUGGGACAACACUGACGCUGAGGCACGAAAGCGUGGGGAGCAAACAGGAUUAGAUACCCCCGUAGUCCCUGUCUUUAUACC
rnacentral:rRNA from 1 species